rnacentral:rRNA from 1 species
AGUCGAGCGAAUGAGAAGAGCUUGCUCUUCGAUUCAGCGGCGGACGGGUGAGUAAUGCCUAGGAAUCUGCCUGGUAGUGGGGGACAACGUUUCGAAAGGAACGCUAAUACCGCAUACGUCCUACGGGAGAAAGCAGGGGACCUUCGGGCCUUGCGCUAUCAGAUGAGCCUAGGUCGGAUUAGCUAGUUGGUGAGGUAAUGGCUCACCAAGGCGACGAUCCGUAACUGGUCUGAGAGGAUGAUCAGUCACACUGGAACUGAGACACGGUCCAGACUCCUACGGGAGGCAGCAGUGGGGAAUAUUGGACAAUGGGCGAAAGCCUGAUCCAGCCAUGCCGCGUGUGUGAAGAAGGUCUUCGGAUUGUAAAGCACUUUAAGUUGGGAGGAAGGGCAUUAACCUAAUACGUUAGUGUUUUGACGUUACCGACAGAAUAAGCACCGGCUAACUCUGUGCCAGCAGCCGCGGUAAUACAGAGGGUGCAAGCGUUAAUCGGAAUUACUGGGCGUAAAGCGCGCGUAGGUGGUUUGUUAAGUUGGAUGUGAAAGCCCCGGGCUCAACCUGGGAACUGCAUCCAAAACUGGCAAGCUAGAGUACGGUAGAGGGUGGUGGAAUUUCCUGUGUAGCGGUGAAAUGCGUAGAUAUAGGAAGGAACACCAGUGGCGAAGGCGACCACCUGGACUGAUACUGACACUGAGGUGCGAAAGCGUGGGGAGCAA